AUGGAUAUUUUUUGUAAUAUAAUCUAUUCUGUUUCCGUAAAUGGUUCCAUUUCAGAUUCAAUGCACAAUAAUAUUCAUCCAUUUCUUCAUCUUCCCGUUUUCCUCUCUCUGAUCUAUGCCUAUACCCAAGCCCACAAAAGCACCUCUGAUAGAUGGAGAGUGAUAUUACGAUUGAUUGGCCUGCCCCUGCUGGUGCAUCCAUGUUUGGUCAUGAGUGGGGAGGCUGAAAGGGGGCCGAGGAAUAGAAUGACUCGGCCUACAAGACAGCUCCUCUUUGAUGAAUAAUCAGACACAGAUGUCAAUAACAAUUAGAUUGUCUGUAAACUCCAGUCACUUAGGGCUCCCGGAGCCUGUCCACAGGGCCUGGAUUGAAACCCUCAGCCUUGUGAACUCCAAAUCAGGUUUGGCAUUGGGAAUGAAAAGCCAUCAGCAGUAAUAGUAUUACAAAGCUGUUGGUCGAAGAAGUACAACGGGCUUGGAAUCGCGCUUGGGCUCUUGUAGGUUGCAGGGCAAAGAAUGAGCCAUGGAAGCUAGGAGAUGAGAGGGAAGGCAAGAUGGGGGCUGGAGGCACCGAGGGGCACCUGGGAGUGAAUGCGCGCUUUGCUUACAACCAUGGACUCCAUUGUAGCAGGAUCCUGAGUGUGCGUCCUGGCUUUGCCGCUUGUAAGUUGUGUGAUCUUGGACCAAUGCUGUCACUGCCUCAGUUUUGUCAUCAUGAAAUAGGGAUGUCACAGGACCUAAAACCUAAUAUCAUAAGAGGUGUUAUCUUAUAGGGUGGUUGUAAUCAGUAAUCAUCCUAAUGAAUUACUAUUAUCGGCAGAGCCUCAGGUGGUCAAUAAAGUUAGCUUUUGAGAGUCUGACAUGGGACUGUUUCAUGUGUCAUGGGUCAUUUAAUCCCCACCGUGGCCCAUUCUGAAGUGCAGCAGAUAGAAUCAUAGAUGUCAAGCACUGAACCCAGUGCCUGGCAUUGAAUAAAUUAUGAUUAUCUUUAUAAAACAUCUCCCUUGGGGGGUGCAGGGGACACUCAGGAAGGUGAAAACCAGCAAGUAUUGCCCAGAAUAUGAAAGAGUCUCAUUUUCUCAGUCCCUGCUGAAGGGCCCAUCUUUCAAGCAAGAGGGAGAGAGAAAUGGAUUGUCACCGGAAGAAAGAUGUUCUUCUUUAAAGCUGCUUCCUCAGUAUCUCAUCCACGUGAAUCAGGUGCUGCAUGUUUGAGGGAGAAAACUUGGGAGUGGGGAGAGCAGGAAGAAGUGGGAUUCCAAGCACAAGCCCCCAAUCCCUCUUGAAGGAAGAGAUGGGAAGAUGGAAAGAACCCUCCCAGUCCCUCUGCCUUGGGUAUCGAGUGCCGAGCCACGGCUUCUCCUCUGGUAUUUGCACAGUAGGAAGUAUUCCUAGCUGAUCCAGGUAGAGGUUGACCUUGAAUGAUUUUAAUUCCAGUGGCACGUCUGCUUAUUUUUUCCGGCUUGCUCUGCUUUUUCUCUAAGCUCAUUUCCUGGCCUAUCUCUUCCAUCACUUCCUCCCCUGUCUUUUCCCAACUCAAACAUUCUACACCCUUUCAACUGACCUGCUGACCCCUCACAUCAACAAAGAACGUGGAUUCUGAGAAGACAGGCUUUGGUUCAAAAUCUGACUGUGUUGCUGGUUAUCUGUGUGAAGUGGGACGAGUGGCUUUGCCUUGCUAAGCCUGAGUUUUCUCAUCUGUCAAAAGGCAGAAAUUGUGCAUUUCUUGUAGGGUUGUGGAGCUCUUGUGGGCUUAUCUUAUAGUUACCUACUGCUGUGUAACAAACUGCCCUGAAUCUUCGUGGCUUAAAAGAGGGAGUUAUCCAAGGACCUACCGUACAGUGCAGGGAACUCUGCUCGGUGUUAUGUGGCUUCCUAGAUGCGAGAGGCGUUUGGGGAAGAAUGGAUACAUAGAUGUAUAUGACUAAGCCCCUUUGCUGUCCACCCGAAACUAUCACAACAUUGUUAAUUGGC
ensembl:lncRNA